rnacentral:rRNA from 1 species
GAUCCUGGCUCAGGAUGGACGCUAGCGACAGGCCUAACACAUGCAAGUCGAGGGGCAGCGAAGAGGUAGCAAUACAUUUGUCGGCGACCGGCGCACGGGUGAGUAACACGUAUGCAAUCCACCUGUAACAGGGGGAUAACCCGGAGAAAUCCGGACUAAUACCCCAUAAUAUGGGCGCUCCGCAUGGAGAGCCCAUUAAAGAGAGCAAUUUUGGUUACAGACGAGCAUGCGCUCCA